ACCCGCUGAACUUAAGCAUAUCAAUAAGCGGAGGAAAAGAAACCAACAGGGAUUGCCCUAGUAACGGCGAGUGAAGCGGCAACAGCUCAAAUUUGAAAUCUGGCGUCUUUGGCGUCCGAGUUGUAAUUUGCAGAGGGCGCUUUGGCAUUGGCAGCGGUCCAAGUUCCUUGGAACAGGACGUCACAGAGGGUGAGAAUCCCGUACGUGGUCGCUAGCCUUUACCGUGUAAAGCCCCUUCGACGAGUCGAGUUGUUUGGGAAUGCAGCUCUAAAUGGGAGGUAAAUUUCUUCUAAAGCUAAAUACUGGCCAGAGACCGAUAGCGCACAAGUAGAGUGAUCGAAAGAUGAAAAGCACUUUGGGAAGAGAGUUAAAAAGCACGUGAAAUUGUUGAAAGGGAAGCGCUUGCAGCCAGACUUGCCUGUAGUUGCUCAUCCGGGUUUUUACCCGGUGCACUCUUCUAUAGGCAGGCCAGCAUCAGUUUGGGCGGUUGGAUAAAGGUCUCUGUCAUGUACCUCUCUUCGGGGAGAACUUAUAGGGGAGACGACAUGCAACCAGCCCGGACUGAGGUCCGCGCAUCUGCUAGGAUGCUGGCGUAAUGGCUGU
rnacentral:rRNA from 1 species